rnacentral:rRNA from 1 species
ACGCCCCUUCGGGGGAGUGGCGGACGGGUGAGUAACGCGUGGGAACGUGCCCUUUGGUUCGGAACAACACAGGGAAACUUGUGCUAAUACCGAAUGUGCCCUUCGGGGGAAAGAUUUAUCGCCAUUGGAGCGGCCCGCGUUGGAUUAGCUAGUUGGUGGGGUAAAGGCCCACCAAGGCUACGAUCCAUAGCUGGUCUGAGAGGAUGAUCAGCCACACUGGGACUGAGACACGGCCCAGACUCCUACGGGAGGCAGCAGUAGGGAAUCUUGCGCAAUGGGCGAAAGCCUGACGCAGCCAUGCCGCGUGAAUGAUGAAGGUCUUAGGAUUGUAAGAUUCUUUCACCGGGGAAGAUAAUGACGGUACCCGGAGAAGAAGCCCCGGCUAACUUCGUGCCAGCAGCCGCGGUAAUACGAAGGGGGCUAGCGUUGCUCGGAAUUACUGGGCGUAAAGGGCGCGUAGGCGGACAGUUUAGUCAGAGGUGAAAGCCCAGGGCUCAACCUUGGAAUUGCCUUUGAUACUGGCUGUCUUGAGUUCGGGAGAGGUGAGUGGAAUGCCGAGUGUAGAGGUGAAAUUCGUAGAUAUUCGGCGGAACACCAGUGGCGAAGGCGACUCACUGGCCCGAUACUGACGCUGAGGCGCGAAAGCGUGGGGAGCAAACAGGAUUAGAUGCCCUGGUAGUCCACGCUGUAAACGAUGAGUGCUAGUUGUCGGCAUGCAUGCAUGUCGGUGACGCAGCUAACGCA